AGAAACUAUAUUUUAUUAAAUCGUCAGUUCGUACAUUUUAAGUUUUUUUCUUGUAUUUGUGUAUUUGUUCUAUUUUUCUUAUAGUUAUGUUUGGAAAUGUGGAUCAUUCAUUGGUCGACAAAUUUUUUUAUGUGGAUCAUUAUUUGGAUCAAAAGAUGUUGUGACGAAAAUUUGACAAAUUACUAUUUUCUGAUAUCAGUCCAAUUUACACAAAAAUACAAAUGUCUUUAAGACGACUUACAAACAUUAUUGGAUCCACUGGUAGUAGAGAGACAAUAGACCAAACGGUUGCAUUUGCAAACGGCUACUAAGGAGGACAUAUACUCGAUGCUCUUAGUUCUUACAACUUUCAUCAGAAGAAAGAGUGAAGAUCGGAGGAGAGAAGAGAUUAGAGAGAAAGAGAAAUUAUCGCUAAUGAAAUAUUUCUCAUAAGAUAAGGAAACAGGUUUAAAUACAACCACAUUAGUUGCAUGUGCUUUGAUACAAAAAAUGCACACAUAUGUUUGCAUAAGUACAUAAAUGCUCUUUCUGUAAUAAUUCAUGUAAUGGUAAAUGUCUGAGUUAUAAACUAGUCACAUUUAAAUACUUGAAAGAUGAUAAAGUAGAAUAUUAAAACUCUAUUACUUCAACAAACGAAGCUAAGAAAAAAGUGCAAUCCUUAUAGAAAUAAGAAAAAAUUAGCAUGAUUUAAAACCUAUCUUUUAGAUAAUAAUAAAUUAUCAAUAUAUAGAUGCAUACAUAACAUUAUUAUGCAAAACAUAAGCAAAACAUAAGCAUAUUUUGUUUAUAUGCACAUCACAUCACCUAGAACUUGUUUAGCGAUGUAAACACUGUAAAAUUUAUUCAUUAUGUUAGAGUAAAUAAGAAGAAGAUGGAGAAGGUGGUAAUAUAGAUAGAUAAAAAGCAGAAAUAUGCCUUAAUUAUGGGUUAUGGCUAUAUAAGUGAAUUUUAUUGUACAUAAAACGUUAAUCCGUCCAAACAAGAAUUCGGAGAACAUGCAUAUCUAUGUUACCAGAGUUCUACUACAAGGCCGGUCCAAGGUAAAAUGCUGCUUAAAGCAAAAAAAAUAUCAGUCCAUUAUUAAAGUUCAAAAAAAGCAUAAACUUGCAAAUUUGCGAUGAAAAAAGCAUGAACUUUCAAAUGCAAUAAAAAUCCUAAACUUUGCUUUGACUUUUUGAAAAAUGACCAACUUUUGUUGACCAGACUGUUUCGGGCAUGACGUUAAUUUUCCGUUAACGGAACGAUAACAGAGUUGACUUUUCGUUAACAGUCUCCGAUAAACAAAACGACUUCAUUUUGAAUUCACUAAGAAAAAAAAGAAAACUCAGCACUUUAGGGAUCACCCCAUGACCAAUUGAUGGAUAUAACAGACUUGCAACCAUUGAGACACGACAUGACUAUGAUGUUAUAGCAAACACUGAUUUAUAUAUACAAGUUACCUAAAAAUAACAAAAGUUAAAAAUCUUUUUAUGUGUAUAUACAAUGUAUUCAUAAAAAAUCUUUGUUACGUACAAAUAUACACAAAAAAAUCUUCAUUAAAGAUAUAUACAAAAAUAUUUAUUGUGUAUAUAUUAAUAUAUAUAUAUAUAUAAAUGUUAAAUUAUUAUUUUUAAAAGUUAAUUACAUAUACAUAAAACAAUAUAUAAGCCAUAAAUAUUUUUGUGUGUAUAUUUGUAAUGAAGAUUUUUUAUGUAUAUUUA
rnacentral:sRNA from 1 species